rfam:Triticum urartu cultivar G1812 contig555927, whole genome shotgun sequence.
GUAGUACUCGCUCCGUUCGGAAUUACUUGUCACAAAAAUGGAUGUAUCUACAACUAAAAUACAUCUAGAUACAUUCAUUUCAUGGACGAGUAAUUUAGAACGGAGGGAGUAUGUA